rnacentral:tRNA from 2 species
GCCCUCGUAGCCCAACCGGCAGAGGCACCGGACCCAGGCUCCGGACAGUCCAGGUUCGACUCCUGGCGAGGGCA